rnacentral:tRNA from 1 species
GGGAACGUAGUUCAACGGCAGAAAGUUCGCUAUAUGGACAGAUGUGAGUUCGACUCUCACCGUUCCCG